GAUGAACGCUGGCGGCGUGCCUAAUACAUGCAAGUCGAGCGAACAGAUGAGGAGCUUGCUCCUCUGACGUUAGCGGCGGACGGGUGAGUAACACGUGGAUAACCUACCCAUAAGACUGGGAUAACUUCGGGAAACCGGAGCUAAUACCGGAUAAUAUAUUGAACCGCAUGGUUCAAUAGUGAAAGACGGUUUUGCUGUCACUUAUAGAUGGAUCCGCGCCGCAUUAGCUAGUUGGUAAGGUAACGGCUUACCAAGGCAACGAUGCGUAGCCGACCUGAGGGGGUGAUCGGCCACACUGGAACUGAGACACGGUCCAGACUCCUACGGGAGGCAGCAGUAGGGAAUCUUCCGCAAUGGGCGAAAGCCUGACGGAGCAACGCCGCGUGAGUGAUGAAGGUCUUCGGAUCGUAAAACUCUGUUAUUAGGGAAGAACAAAUGUGUAAGUAACUAUGCACGUCUUGACGGUACCUAAUCAGAAAGCCACGGCUAACUACGUG
rnacentral:rRNA from 1 species